rnacentral:rRNA from 1 species
GACGAACCGUGCGAACGUUGUUCGGAAUCACUGGGCUUAAAGGGCGCGUAGGCGGGCAGCCAAGUCAGGGGUGAAAUCUUUCGGCUUAACCGGAAAACAGCUUCUGAUACUGGUUGUCUUGAGCGAGGUAGGGGCAUGUGGAACUUCCGGUGGAGCGGUGAAAUGCGUAGAUAUCGGGAGGAACACCUGUGGCGAAAGCGGCAUACUGGACCACAACUGACGCUGAGGCGCGAAAGCUAGGGGAGUAAACGGG